rnacentral:rRNA from 1 species
AUUGAACGCUGGCGGCAUGCUUUACACAUGCAAGUCGGACGGCAGCACAGAGGAGCUUGCUUCUUGGGUGGCGAGUGGCGAACGGGUGAGUAACGCAUCGGAACGUACCGAGUAAUGGGGGAUAACUGUCCGAAAGGACAGCUAAUACCGCAUACGCCCUGAGGGGGAAAGCGGGGGAUCUUAGGACCUCGCGUUAUUCGAGCGGCCGAUGUCUGAUUAGCUGGUUGGCGGGGUAAAGGCCCACCAAGGCGACGAUCAGUAGCGGGUCUGAGAGGAUGAUCCGCCACACUGGGACUGAGACACGGCCCAGACUCCUACGGGAGGCAGCAGUGGGGAAUUUUGGACAAUGGGCGCAAGCCUGAUCCAGCCAUGCCGCGUGUCUGAAGAAGGCCUUCGGGUUGUAAAGGACUUUUGUCAGGGAAGAAAAGGGGCAUGUUAAUACCGUGCUCUGAUGACGGACCUGAAGAAUAAGCACCG